UACAGAGGUCCCAAGCGUUGUUCGGAUUCACUGGGCGUAAAGGGUGCGUAGGCGGUCGGGUAAGUCUGACGUGAAAUCUUCAAGCUCAACUUGGAAACUGCGUCGGAUACUAUUCGGCUAGAGGAAUGGAGGGGAGACUGGAAUACUUGGUGUAGCAGUGAAAUGCGUAGAUAUCAAGUGGAACACCAGUGGCGAAGGCGAGUCUCUGGACAUUUCCUGACGCUGAGGCACGAAAGCUAGGGGAGCAAACAGG
rnacentral:rRNA from 1 species